UACGGGGGGAGCAAGCGUUGUUCGGAUUUACUGGGCGUAAAGGGCGCGUAGGCGGCCAGCACAAGUCAGUUGUGAAAUCUCCGAGCUUAACUCGGAAAGGUCAACUGAUACUGUGCGGCUAGAGUGCGGAAGGGGCAACUGGAAUUCUCGGUGUAGCGGUGAAAUGCGUAGAUAUCGGGAGGAACACCAGUGGCGAAGGCGGUUGCCUGGGGCUUUGCUGACGCUGAUGCGCGAAAGCGUGGGGAGCGAUCCGG
rnacentral:rRNA from 1 species